AACCUGCGGGAAGGAUCAUUA
rnacentral:rRNA from 2 species